GUUGACAAACGAUAUAAAUUCGUGUAACAAAUGUCAACAGUCGAAAAAAGUGACCAUUCCUCUUCGUCCGGAAAAUGUGCACUUUCUACGAAAUACGCAUACAAGAAAACGAGUAAAUUGUGCUGUAUCAUUAUGAAAAUGAGUAAUUGUGCUGCAUGACGAAUUUGGGCGGGAAAUCUUCCCGCCAAAUUCAUGCUGAACUUGCAUACAUCGAAACUAACCAGAGUAGAGAAAUAAAGUUAAUAAGAAUCUGUUGAAUUCGAACUGUGGAAAACAAGCGACUGCUGUAAGAAGAAUAUAAGGAAGAGAAGGUCACGUAUUUAUUUAAAAAAGUAAGACAAAGGUUACUUUUUAAAGCCGGCGUUAAUUGUGAAAACGAAAUGCAGCAGUGGUUUCGAUAAAAUUAUGUUUAUCGAACAAUUUCAACGUAUUUUGCAUUUCUGAUACAAUUUCCAUAACACUGCGAUAAAUCCGCUUUGUUUUGUAAACGACUGCAUUCGUAUUCGAGGUCAGUGUCAAUCCAUCGUACACAUAGUUUCAAUCUUAAUUUUUUCUACUUCAUAAGGCGAACGUUCAUAAUAUGGGUGACGAUAAAACGCGUUUAUUAUAGCAGUGCAAUGUCAAUAAGUGCAAACGAAAUAAAAGAAAAAAGAAACGAUGUACGUCAUAAGUCAUUAAUGAACGAGGAAGCCAUUGUCGUAGAAUGCAGAGUUUGUAUAAAACUGGGAUCUUUGAAAUUAACCAAUAAAAAAGGAAAAAAGCUGACGAAACCAGAGACAUGUGAAAGAUUUAAAGACACGCGUGCGAGCGGAUAGAGAAACUUGUCGCAUUUGCAUUUCAUUUACUCGCCGGGUUUGUUUACUCAUUCGUCCAGGAAAAGGCGCAAAAAGUAAGAGAAAAAAAGUAGCUUUUAGAGCACGUCGGUUUUUAUUCGCAGCAAAGAAUAGGCCAAACAUUAUGAUAAAAACGCACAUUUUUGUGCAUUUAAUCAACUGCAUGCAGGUUACCCGCCUUUUGAUACGCGCGAUCGUCAUGCGUUACGUAACGCGCGAAAUUUGAAUUGCUAAUUUGAGUUGGUUAAUGUAAAUCGACUCACCUGUGAUACUGUAUUUAAGAUUGCUGUACGUGCGCCUGGCUCGUCAAUUUUUCACCUUAUUUGCGGGCAUUUGACACUUACUGUAAGAUUUUGAACCGUGGAAAGUAGCUUUGAAUUUUUGAGACUGUGGACCUUGGGAACUUUGGAUGUUCGGGACCUUGAACCUUCGAAACUUUCGAACUGAGAUUCUUUGGUACGUGGAAACUUGUAACUUUAGGAUUGUACAAUUUUGAGACUUUAAAAGUUUUGAACGUCAAGGGUUUCUAAAUAAUUAACUUUCCAUAAAACUUUUCACGAAUCUCUCUUAAAGCACCUAGCUACGCCAAUGGAUCUCAUUAUCAAAGGUGCAAUAAAACGCACAGAUACACGAACCAAUGGCACUAACAUACCACCGUGUUCUCGAUGCUUUUUAGUCGCCAUUUAAGUGAGAAAUGUUGGAUCAAGUUUUGCUGAACACCGUGGUCACCUGAUCCUGCGAGUUGACAUUCGAUCCAGGACAAAAUAAAUCGAUAGUUACCGCAGAUCCUAGUAAAAUGUGACGGUCAUGCAAACCGUAUUACAUUCACGGUUUUUGGUCCAGUAGUUGGAACACGAGUUCACGAAUAUAUUAUCAAGAGAAAUUAAGAACGAUUCACGUAAUCUUGCUUUCGUAUAUAUAGUUACAUAAGUGGGAUCUUGCUGAAACUUCGAAGAGCAAUGAUUAAUAAGAAACUAUCGUUGUAUACUUAAAAACUUGCGUCGUUUUAUUAUAAGACGCACCUGUGUCAUGAGAAUGUAUUACAGAACGUACAUGGUGCGUCAUGAGGGUAUGUAGCAAAGGACACACAUGGUGCGUCAUCGAAGGAGGAAUGUAUAGGACGCACAAGGUGCGUCAUUGAUGAAACGUGCAUAAUGCACAUGGUGCGUAGUGUAGUACGCACCUGGUGCGUCACAAGGCUAUGUACCAUAAGACGCACAAGGUGCGUCAUGUAUAGAAUCGCGUGAACGCACAUGGUGCGUCAUCAGUAAAAAUCCAUAAGACGCACAAGGUGUGUCAUCGGUUUAUUAACGUAGUAAUUGACGUCACUCGAUUAUCGUUCGCCCACAGUUUCGAACGAGCAAGUAACUCUUUUUCUCGAAUCGAUAUGAACAACAUUUAGUCGAGGAGAUAAAACGUUUUCUUUAUCCGAAUCAACCCGAUAAAGAAGUUGUUAUUUUUCUUGGAUUUUGCGCGAAAUAUCUUGAGAAGGCGCAUCGUCGAUUCGAACGAAAACAAUAUAUUUGUGCUCGUUCACGUUUUAUAAUUGCGAAGUCGUAUCAACAGACAGUUACAUUUUGUUGUUGCCCGAUGUUUUCCGUCUCCGAAUUCGAAGAUCGCGGCCUUGAGUGAAAUUACCGUGAUCGAAUCGAUUCAGUGCCAAAUAACGGCAGACACGGAAAAGUGCGAGGUCCUUGAGCGGUUAGGCGCACACGACCUUUCGAUUUUAGACUCUCAACUUGUUCGGUUAUUUUCGACGGAGCACCCACUCAUCUGGUCAUAGAAAACAGGCGGUGUUCUCUUCAGCGUUUCUAAUAUCUUCAAUGUUUCAGAUUCUGCGAAUGCCGGUUGUAGUUUACAUACCUCUGGGAGUUCCUGUAAUUUUUCAGCAACUACUCGGAGUAACUCAUAAUUAAGCACUUCCUUUCUUCCUCACUACAUUAUUAACCCGAAAAGUUUCUACACCUUAGACUCAUAAUUUUCAAUAAAGUUCUUCUUUUCCAAGUAUCUCUUAAUGUUCCCUAAUUUGUGCAACGUUAGCGAAGUUAUUCUUGUGCGCUUUUGUUAACGAUAGGCCCGUCAUUUAUUUGUGCUAACGGAAAAAUUCAAGAUUGCGGGAGAUUUCGUGGGAAUCGAAGUAACUUGAAGUGUGAAGGUUAUCUGUUACUCUUUAUGACAGAUAUCAUAUUUGUGUGUCACGCGUGUACUUCAUGACCCGCGCGACGGCCAUCUUUUUUAACGAGGACACUGAUUCUGUGUGGCUAAUAAUUGUGGUUUAGGAACGUGUUCCUUAGUGAAUGAUGAAAUGUUAUAGAUCUGAUAUUUUAGAAUGUUUCUGGAGUUGGGACUUUGGGAUUUUUGAAGUUUGGGGAGUUUGGGACUUUGGGA